rnacentral:tRNA from 1 species
CGCUGGGAAGCUAAACAGGGCGUAAGCGUUAGCCUUUUAAGCUAAACAAUGGUGCCUCCCAACCACCCUCAGCGA